CAGUGAAAUUGAACUCGCUGUGAAGAUGCAGUGUACCCGCGGCAAGACGGAAAGACCCCGUGAACCUUUACUAUAGCUUGACACUGAACAUUGAGCCUUGAUGUGUAGGAUAGGUGGGAGGCUUUGAAGCGUGGACGCCAGUCUGCGUGGAGCCAACCUUGAAAUACCACCCUUUAAUGUUUGAUGUUCUAACGUUGGCCCCUUACCGGGGUUGCGGACAGUGUCUGGUGGGUAGUUUGACUGGGGCGGUCUCCUCCCAAAGCGUAACGGAGGAGCACGAAGGUUAGCUAAUCCUGGUCGGACAUCAGGAGGUUAGUGCAAUGGCAUAAGCUAGCUUGACUGCGAGCGUGACGGCGCGAGCAGGUGCGAAAGCAGGUCAUAGUGAUCCGGUGGUUCUGAAUGGAAGGGCCAUCGCUCAACGGAUAAAAGGUACUCCGGGGAUAACAGGCUGAUACCGCCCAAGAGUUCAUAUCGACGGCGGUGUUUGGCACCUCGAUGUCGGCUCAUCACAUCCUGGGGCUGAAGUAGGUCCCAAGGGUAUGGCUGUUCGCCAUUUAAAGUGGUACGCGAGCUGGGUUUAGAACGUCGUGAGACAGUUCGGUCCCUAUCUGCCGUGGGCGCUGGAGAAUUGAGGGGGGCUGCUCCUAGUACGAGAGGACCGGAGUGGACGCAUCACUGGUGUUCGGGUUGUCAUGCCAAUGGCACUGCCCGGUAGCUAAAUGCGGAAGAGAUAAGUGCUGAAAGCAUCUAAGCACGAAACUUGCCCCGAGAUGAGUUCUCCCUGAGACUU
rnacentral:rRNA from 2 species